rnacentral:rRNA from 1 species
GCUGGCGGCGUGCCUAACACAUGCAAGUCGAGCGAAGCGCUUAAGUCAGAUUCUUCGGAUGAAGGCUUUUGUGACUGAGCGGCGGACGGGUGAGUAACGCGUGGGUAACCUGCCUUACACAGGGGGAUAACAGUUAGAAAUGACUGCUAAUACCGCAUAAGACCACAGUACUGCAUGGUACAGUGGUAAAAACUGAGGUGGUGUAAGAUGGACCCGCGUCUGAUUAGGUAGUUGGUGGGGUAACGGCCCACCAAGCCGACGAUCAGUAGCCGGCCUGAGAGGGUGGACGGCCACAUUGGGACUGAGACACGGCCCAGACUCCUACGGGAGGCAGCAGUGGGGAAUAUUGCACAAUGGGGGAAACCCUGAUGCAGCGACGCCGCGUGAGCGAUGAAGUAUUUCGGUAUGUAAAGCUCUAUCAGCAGGGAAGAAAAUGACGGUACCUGACUAAGAAGCCCCGGCUAACUACGUGCCAGCAGCCGCGGUAAUACGUAGGGGGCAAGCGUUAUCCGGAUUUACUGGGUGUAAAGGGAGCGUAGACGGCAUGGCAAGCCAGAUGUGAAAUACCCGGGGCUCAACCCCGGGACUGCAUUUGGAACUGUUAAGCUGGAGUGUCGGAGAGGCAGGCGGAAUUCCCAGUGUACCGGCGAAAUGCGUAGAUAUUAGGAGGAACCCCCGUGGCGACAGGCCGCCCUGCUGGACGAUGACGGACGUUGAGGCUCCGAAAGCGUGGGGAACAAACAGGAUUACAUCCCCCUGGUUAUCCCCCACCCGCAAACGAUGGACUACUAAGUGGCGGGGAACAAAACUGCCCCGGUGCCCCAUCCCACGCAAUAUUAACUCCCCUGGGGGAGUACUUUCCCAAAAAGAAACUCAAAGGAAUGGACGGGGAACCCGCACAAGCGGGUGGAGCAUGUGGUUUAAUUCGAAGCAACGCGAAGAACCUUCCCGAAUCUUGACAUCCCGAUGACCGGGGCUUAAUCGUCCCUUCUCUUCGGAGCAUCGGAGACAGGUGGUGCAUGAUUGUCGUCAGCUCGUGUCGUGAGAUGUUGGGAUAAGUCCCGCAACGAGCGCAACCCCUAUCUUCAGUAGCCAGCACGAAAGGUGGGCACUCUGGAGAGACUGCCAGGGACAACCUGGAGGAAGGUGGGGAUGACGUCAAAUCAUCAUGCCCCUUAUGACCAGGGCUACACACGUGCUACAAUGGCGUAAACAAAGGGAAGCGAUCACGUGAGUGUAAGCGAAUCCCAAAAAUAACGUCUCAGUUCGGAUUGUAGUCUGCAACUCGACUACAGGAAGCUGGAAUCGCUAGUAAUCGCGAAUCAGAAUGUCGCGGUGAAUACGUUCC